AACGAUAUCAAAUAUUUUGCAUCGAAUGUCAUCAAAUUACAUUCUCCACACCGAAUCAUUCUUAAUUGUGACAACAUCUGUACGUUUCUUAUCCUUUUGAAGCCAUCUUCACAAUAGAAUACUAACAGAAACAUACGUAGUUGAAAUUACCUACUUUAGAGAACAUCACAUCUUGACACCACGCUUUUCAACGGUACAGUGACGCUUCGCGCCACAACUUUGCCCAGUUGAUUCCUGAUUGGCUGAAGCGGAAUGGCUUCUUUUUCGUUCAAAGCUG